GACGAACGCUGGCGGCGUGCUUAACACAUGCAAGUCGAACGGAAAGGCCCUGCUUUUGUGGGGUGCUCGAGUGGCGAACGGGUGAGUAACACGUGAGUAACCUGCCCUUGACUUUGGGAUAACUUCAGGAAACUGGGGCUAAUACCGGAUAGGAGCUCCUGCUGCAUGGUGGGGGUUGGAAAGCUUCGGCGGUUGGGGAUGGACUCGCGGCUUAUCAGCUUGUUGGUGGGGUAGUGGCUUACCAAGGCUUUGACGGGUAGCCGGCCUGAGAGGGUGACCGGCCACAUUGGGACUGAGAUACGGCCCAGACUCCUACGGGAGGCAGCAGUGGGGAAUAUUGCACAAUGGGCGGAAGCCUGAUGCAGCAACGCCGCGUGCGGGAUGACGGCCUUCGGGUUGUAAACCGCUUUCGCCUGUGACGAAGCGUGAGUGACGGUAAUGGGUAAAGAAGCACCGGCUAACUACGUGCCAGCAGCCGCGGUGAUACGUAGGGUGCGAGCGUUGUCCGGAUUUAUUGGGCGUAAAGGGCUCGUAGGUGGUUGAUCGCGUCGGAAGUGUAAUCUUGGGGCUUAACCCUGAGCGUGCUUUCGAUACGGGUUGACUUGAGGAAGGUAGGGGAGAAUGGAAUUCCUGGUGGAGCGGUGGAAUGCGCAGAUAUCAGGAGGAACACCAGUGGCGAAGGCGGUUCUCUGGGCCUUUCCUGACGCUGAGGAGCGGAAGCGUGGGGAGCGAACAGGCUUAGAUACCCUGGUAGUCCACGCUGUAAACGGUGGGUACUAGGUGUGGGGUCCAUUCCACGGGUUCCGUGCCGUAGCUAACGCUUUAAGUACCCCGCCUGGGGAGUACGGCCGCAAGGCUAAAACUCAAAGGAAUUGACGGGGCCCCGCACAAGCGGCGGAGCAUGCGGAUUAAUUCGAUGCAACGCGUAGAACCUUACCUGGGUUUGACAUGGAUCGGGAGUGCUCAGAGAUGGGUGUGCCUCUUUUGGGGUCGGUUCACAGGUGGUGCAUGGCUGUCGUCAGCUCGUGUCGUGAGAUGUUGGGUUAAGUCCCGCAACGAGCGCAACCCUUGUUCACUGUUGCCAGCACGUUAUGGUGGGGACUCAGUGGAGACCGCCGGGGUCAACUCGGAGGAAGGUGGGGAUGACGUCAAGUCAUCAUGCCCCUUAUGUCCAGGGCUUCACGCAUGCUACAAUGGCUGGUACAGAGAGUGGCGAGCCUGUGAGGGUGAGCGAAUCUCGGAAAGCCGGUCUCAGUUCGGAUUGGGGUCUGCAACUCGACCUCAUGAAGUCGGAGUCGCUAGUAAUCGCAGAUCAGCAACGCUGCGGUGAAUACGUUCCCGGGGCU
rnacentral:rRNA from 1 species